rnacentral:rRNA from 1 species
GAUGAACGCUGGCGGCGUGCUUAACACAUGCAAGUCGAACGAUGAAGCCCAGCUUGCUGGGUGGAUUAGUGGCGAACGGGUGAGUAACACGUGAGUAACCUGCCCUUAACUCUGGGAUAAGCCUGGGAAACUGGGUCUAAUACCGGAUAGGAGCGUCCACCGCAUGGUGGGUGUUGGAAAGAUUUAUCGGUUUUGGAUGGACUCGCGGCCUAUCGGCUUGUUGGUGAGGUAAUGGCUCACCAAGGCGACGACGGGUAGCCGGCCUGAGAGGGUGACCGGCCACACUGGGACUGAGACACGGCCCAGACUCCUACGGGAGGCAGCAGUGGGGAAUAUUGCACAAUGGGCGCAAGCCUGAUGCAGCGACGCCGCGUGAGGGAUGACGGCCUUCGGGUUGUAAACCUCUUUCAGUAGGGAAGAAGCGAAAGUGACGGUACCUGCAGAAGAAGCACCGGCUAACUACGUG